rnacentral:rRNA from 1 species
GUGGGGAAUAUUGGACAAUGGGCGAAAGCCUGAUCCAGCCAUGCCGCGUGUGUGAAGAAGGUCUUCGGAUUGUAAAGCACUUUAAGUUGGGAGGAAGGGCAGUAAGUUAAUACCUUGCUGUUUUGACGUUACCAACAGAAUAAGCACCGGCUAACUUCGUGCCAGCAGCCGCGGUAAUACGAAGGGUGCAAGCGUUAAUCGGAAUUACUGGGCGUAAAGCGCGCGUAGGUGGUUCAGCAAGUUGAAGGUGAAAUCCCCGGGCUCAACCUGGGAACUGACUCCAAAACUACUGAGCUAGAGUACGGUAGAGGGUAGUGGAAUUUCCUGUGUAGCGGUGAAAUGCGUAGAUAUAGGAAGGAACACCAGUGGCGAAGGCGACUACCUGGACUGAUACUGACACUGAGGUGCGAAAGCGUGGGGAGCAAACAGGAUUAGAAACCCGGGUAGUCC